rnacentral:rRNA from 1 species
UGUUAAUGGCCAUACCACCUUGAAUGUGCCCAAUCUUGUCAGACCUCAGAAGCUGAGCAGGGUCAGUCCUGGUUAGAACUUGGAUGGGAGAUUACCACCAUUGAGAUUGGGCCAGCUGUAAUAC